ACAUAAAACUAUUAAAUCAGUAAACUAAAUCACUGAUUUAAGGAAAGAAUAAUUUCUAGGUAGAUUUUCCUAAAAUACAUAGAUUUGCACCUAAAUAGCUAUGUUACAGCUAAUGACUAAUUUACAGCACAUAUUUUUUCUAAUUUUCUAACACUCCCCCUCGAGCUGGUUUGAAGAUAUCCUCCAUAGCCAGCUUGCCAACUAGAAAAUUGAACUGUUUUGUGUGUAGUCCUUUGGUAAAGACAUCAGCCACUUGUUCUCCAGUAGGAAUGUGCUCCAUAUGAACCAAUCCAUUAUCUAUCUUCUCCUUGAUGAAAUGCUUGUCAAUCUCCACAUGUUUUGUGCGGUCAUGAAGGACUGGAUUGUGUGCUAUUGAGAUUGCUGCCUUGUUGUCACAGUACAACUACAUAGGAGAUGAUUUUGUCGCUUUUAACUCUUCCAACAGCCUCCUAAUCCACAUGAUCUCACAAAUGCCAUGGGUUACAGCUCUAAAUUCAGCCUCAGCACUGCUCCUAGCUACCACAUUCUGUUUCUUGCUUCUCCAAGUAACCAAAUUACCACCUACAAAUGAACAGUAUCCAGAAGUGGAUCUUCGGUCUACUUUGCAGGUAAAUUUACUGCAAAGGCUCUUACAAGCCCUCAAAGAUGAUAUUCUACAUACCAUGGUAACCUGACUAACAAAAAGAAACACAGUGAAUAUUAAAGGGCAUUCUGACAAUGCAAAUUUGUGCAAAUUAACAACUGCGGUUACCUGCAUAAUAGUGUCAAUACCGAGUUCCUUCCUCCAUGGAAGCAUAUGAUCAGCCCACAUGUGCUUUGCUCUGUAGCUUUUGAGUACCUGAAAUUGUUAUUACAACCAGCGGUGAAAAUUGGGUGAAAAAAUGGUAAUAUUAGCAUAAUUGAAUUUGCUUAUAGAGGAUAAACCGAUCAAAGAAAACGACAAGAUAGAAAUGAUUAUCUUAGUACCUUAAUAUCAUGCAAUAAAAAUCAUCAUGCCUUCCAGGCAGCUAUCCAUCCUCAAUUGAAACAGAGCAGACCUGGCCAUCACUUUCUUCUUCAAAGUCCAGCAACUGAACGUUGCACACAACACCACAGUGGAAGUAGUUCCAUCACCAGCCUAAUCCUUGAUUACCCCAAUGUUCUCCAUAGGGUCUUCAAAGUCAACCUAAAAAUAAAAUGAAAAUGCAAUGCAUUAUUAUUAGGGAUCUAGUGCUUGAGCUUGCUUUGACAUCAUGGUAUUAGCAAAUUCUGAUAUAGCCAAAAUGGUGAAUAAGAUGAUGUACUUGAUAAGAAAAACCUGAUUUAACAAAUAAUUAAGAAGCCGGUAACAAUCACAUAAUCUCAUCAUGUGGGGAAUGCCUUGGCAACAGAAGAUGGUGCUUUCAUUCAAGCAAUAGCAACUUUCCAAUUUCAUAAGGUAGUUUAAUGGCCCUUUUAAGAACAUCUGUACCAGCCUAACAAUUAUUCAUGGAAAUUAAAAUUCAGAAUCAUAUUAGAUUGAGAGAUGAAAUAUAAUAAGCGAUUUGGCCACCAUAUAUGCAUUUAUCACCUUCAAUUUGCUCAUCUUUGUCUGGAGUAUUGCUUCUGCAUUAACUUAAUUAGCUUGCAAGCCACCUACAAAUGGUUUUAAAUAAUGUGUGAGAGUGUGAAUUCGAACGAAUUAAUCAAAUAUGCUGACAGGAGAAACAAAAGUAAAUAACCACAAGAAGUAGAAAUAUACUUUUGUUAUAUUCAGAGCAUCUUCUUGCGUCAAGUUCUUUUCCUUUAGCUCUGUUUCUGUUUGUGCUCAAACGGAAUGGCUCAAGGGUCAAGAUAAUUUUAUGACCAUCAAUCUUUUUGCAGCCACAUGCAGACUUGAAAAACUGGUCGUGGCACUAAGGAACUUGAAAAUUAGAAAAGAUUCAGAAUGAGUGACUAAAUAUUAUAAUCGAAACUAAUUAAACAUACACGCCUAGAAAAUCUGAAACUGAACUUCUCAAAUGUAUAUGCCUCUUCGCAGCAAUUGCUUGUGGUGGAAACUUUACCGCAAGGACUUUCUCAAACCCUUGAAGAUCACACUCUACCUGAUAACAAAGAAACAUAGUCAAUAUACGAAGAUGAUUUUACUAACAAGUGAGUGCUUACACAUAUUGGAAGGAUAAUGAUUACUCAUAACCCAAAUCCCCAACACUCCCUAAUAUCUCACUCAAGUGAGUACGAGCUCCCAGAAUUCACUACUGUGAAACUCUUACAACAAAAUUCCCUUUAAAGAUUCUCUACUCAAAUUUGAUGAUGAUGUCCCUCGAAAGGAGGCAAAAAAUCUAACACUGAUCAAAUUGGCUUGUGAACAAUUAAUCUUCCUGGCGAUCAUGCAUACCAGGUGUGGUGAGCAAUCUUCAUUCUGACAUUUGCCUUAAUAAGCGGCUUAGUAUCCUUAACCUGAUAACUUACACAAACAAAAACAACUUGAUUAAAGUAUAAUAUUUAGAGGCAGAACAGUAAAGAAGAUGAUAUAUAUUGGUACUAAAAUUUGACCUGUGUUAUCCUGACGUCAAGAAUCACAGCAUCUCAUGUGGGCAGAAUAUUCGCAGUACAAGAUGCUUGCAAAAUUGAAGCAGCAUCUUAUCACCUGUAAUUUAAUUAAGACAAUAACUUUCCCCAACCAUUUCAAUGCAUUAUUGGCAACUAAAUUCAGAGGGUGCUAAUUAAAUAGCCUUUGAACAAUAUAUUCUAAUUCUUCUCCAAUCUAACAAUUAUUUGGAAAAUCUGAAUGACAAUCAUGCAUCGACGACAUCAAAAUUUGGCUACAAAGCAGCCUGGAAAAGGCUUUACUCUCUGAAUGAGAGCAUGAAUUCGAAACAAAUAUCAUGAAUGAAGAAACAAAGGCAUAAUACCACAAAAAGUAAAACUUUUCCCAGGGCUAUCUGUUUCUGUUUGAACUAAAACCAAUGGAAACCGAUGGAAAUGAAUUUCUAGGAAUUAGACAUAUCAGCCAAAACAGGUACUCUGUACAAGCAAAGUAAAAUAGGGUUACAAAAAAUUUUAAGAUUGAUAUGAUAAUUAAAAUUUCAGUCACCAUAUAAUUAAUAGAAAACUUUGGACACAAUGAUUUAUUGCAUAUUAAGAUUGCUAUAUAAAAUAUAAUAUUAGCAUUAGGAGACCGCACCGAAGCAUACCGAAUUGAAUGUGCCUUUUCACAGCCAUUUUACAAGCUUUGAAGCUUCACCACAAAUGCUUUUUCCAACCCGUGAACAUGGUGCACCCGAGAGAUGCAAGCUAUGAAAUUGUUACUACAGCAAGCGUUGGAACAUUUGUUAAAAAAGGAAGUUUAUGAAAAUACGCCUUUGGAUACCAGUCUUCAGGAAUCAAUUCAUCCGUAAUAACAAUUUUCAAGAAUUAUCAACUGCUUUAAGCUCAUCGACAUCACAAAGAUCUCAACUAAAAUAGAGCAGAUCCGGCCAUCACUAUCCCUUCUACUGCUCUUUUCCUUUAGAGAAUGAUUGAAUUACAGAAUGCGUGUAAGGCAUUCUUAUUCAAGGUCCAAUGAUCAAACCUUGCACUAUAACAACAGAGGUAGUAGUUUCUUCGCCAGCCUAAUCCUUGGUCUCAGGAAUGUCCUCAACAGAGUACUCGAAAUCAACCUAAAAAUUAAGAAUGAGUUGGAAAACUGUUUAUGGCCCUAAAGAACUUGAAAAUAAGAAAAGAUUAAGAAUGAGUGACUAAACAUUUAAUCGCAACUAAACAUACAAACCUUGAAAAUCUAACUUUGAAGUACUCUUGAAUGAAUGAGCAGUUGCACGAGCUGGUGACAACUAAGGUUACUGUGAAGUCUCUUACAAAUCCUUAAAGAUGAUACUUUACAUACCACGAUAACCUGAUAACACAUAGGAACACAAUAAACAUUAAAGUGUAUUCUGACAAUGCAAAUUUGUGGAAAUCAUCAGCUGUGGUUACCUGGACAAUAUUGCCAACACCAAACUCCUUCCUCAAUUGAAACAUAUGAUCAGCCCACAAAUGCUUUGCUUUGUAGCUUUUGAGAGCCUGAAAUUGUUAUCACAACCAACAAUGAAAAUUGGGUGAAAAAAUUGAUAAUAUUAGCUUAAUUCCAUAUGUUUAUAUAGGAUAAACCGAUCAAAGAAUGAAAAAAGAUAGAAACAGAGCAGACCCAGCCAUCACUUUCUUCUUCAAAGUCGCACCAUAACCACAGUGGUAGUCGUUCCACUGCCAGCCUAAUCCUUGGUCACCCCAAUGUUCUCCAUGAAGUAUUCAAAGUCAACCUAAAAAUAAAUAAAAAUGCAAUGCAGGUGGAAAUGAAAAUUCUAUAAAUUAAAUAAAAUAAAAAUGCAAUGCUUGAGCUUGAGCUUGCUUUAGCAUCAUCGUAAUAGUAAAUUUUGAUAUAUCUUUACUUCUCUGUUCUUGUUUAUUCACAACAAGAUAUCAAUAGAAGAAGAUGGAAAUGAAAUUCUAUAAAAUAAAGCAAGUGAAUUACCAACAGAACAUUUUAGCAAUCCUUUGGCUAAACUUUUCAUUUUCUUAGCAUACUCUCCUGCCUGGUGAACAUAAUUAAACAAGUAUGAAAUAAAACAAAGUGGGCUAAUGUAGUAAAAACAAUAACACAAUUACUUUAAAGAAUUAAUGUCACGUAUAUUAUAUAUAAAAAAAUACGAUUAUCAUUAUAUAAGAUAAAAUUGAUAAUUUAGUUUUCAACAUUACUGCAAACGUAUCACAGAGAUUUUGUUACACAUAACAAAUUUUCGUACAUAUGAAAAUAAAUUACAUUGCAUGAAAUUUUACAAAAGAGCACAUAUUUUUUAAAAGUAAAUAAAUAUAGAAAUUUCAACAGACUACACUUGUAUUUUUUUUUAAUUAUUUAAUCUUUAGAAAACAAGUUUAACAGAUUUGAUAACUAGGAAGUUUUACGUAUUUAUACCAUGAUUGAUUCUAUAUAGAAUUUUAAUUCAAAAUAUAAUUAUUUUUAUUAAUUUCAUUGCAAGCAACAACGAAGUAAAUUAGAGGAGGAGGAGAAAUUACCGGCGAGUGAUAAAUUACCGCGACCACUUGAUGUGGGGAAUGCGAGAUAUCUUAUGCCAGUCUUCUCCUUUCCCCUCUCUAUAACGGUUUUCCAGAAGAGGACAUCUGUCAAUAGUCAAUUCCUGCAGCGUCGUCGUCCGAAGAAGGUAAUCCGGCAGCACCUUUAAUUUGGGGCAAUACUCAAUUACCAAGGAAGAAAGACGUGGUAUGUCUGUUGUCCUGUGAUCUUCUAGAAUGGGCAGUUCUUCCAUAUUUGCACAAAAAGAAAUCCUCAGUUUCUGCAGUGCCGUCGUUCGAAGAAGGUAAUCCGGCAGCGCCUUCAAUUUGUUGCAAGAACGAACUUCCAAGGAAGAAAGACGGGGCAUGAUAGAGAUGUUUUCCUUCCUCGUAAUCCUGUAAUUCCACUCUUCCAAUUCUUCCAUGUCCCAAAUUAUGAGUGAUUUCAAUUUGGGGAAGGCAGUAACUGAUGAUGAUGAUGAAGAUGAAGACGGGCCAUCCUCACUGCUUUCUUCUAUUCCCAAAAACUCAUUACCCACUCUUUUUACACUUUUCAAGUACCAUAGUUCGAGUUUUUCCAGAGGCAAUUUUCCCAAAGGAGGCAAAUGCUCACACUUAAGGCACGAGCGAAGAUAUAAAUUCCUUAGAUUGGUCAGUGAAGUCAACCAUUUGGGAAAAAUGUUGCGUCCAUAUAAUAUAAUCCCUAAUUUCUCUACACUCAAAGGCGGUUGUAAGGCUUUAAGAAGUUGUUCAUCUUUCUCUUUCUUCCUCCUCCUUUCUUCAUCUUCCCCAUCUACGACUCUACCAAACUCAAGACGCAAACGAAGGAGGUUUUGCUGAUUGUAAAGUUGUAAUCUCUCGACCUCAUCUAAACGGGACACAUUACCCAGCCCUUCAAUUCCACAUUCUCGAAGGAGUUGAAGAUUUUUCAGAGAUUCAAGCCUACAAGUAUUGCUACCAUCAACACCUCCACCCACCACAAACUUGUCUAAUGUUCGAAGACUGGUUAAUUUGGAAAUCCCUACUGGCAUGUAUUUCAACGAAUAAGUUUCAGCAUUCAGUAAACUCCUCAUGUUCUUUAACUUCCCAAUCCCCGCUGGCAAUUCUUUAAGAUUUCGGCACCGCCUAAUAUCUAGCUUUUGUAAAUUAUAUAAUUCACACAAAGUCUUAGGUAGUCUCUCUAUGCCUAAUUCAGACAAAUUAAGAUAUCUUAAAUGUAUCAAUUUUCCGACAUUUUUUGGAAUUUCUCUAAUCAAACUUGAGUGAAGACGAACAGGCGAGGAUGAUAGCCUUAUAACUAAUGAUUCCCUUAUAACUAAUGCCCUCAAACAUGCCAAUUUACUAAAUAACUUUCGAGUUUCUCUAAUCUUAUAUGUGUUUGGACAAAAACAUAGGCGCAACAGCCUUAUAACUAAUGCCCUUAAACAUUCUUUGCUACUACUAAAAGACGAAAGGAUGCUACUAAGAGACAGAUUGAAAUCACUUCUAUCAUAAAUUAAAAGGGUACGCAAUCUAUCAAGUCCACGAAUGGAUAUAGGAAAUGAAGUGCCUCUUUGAAAAUUUAACCCUAAGUGACGGACUUUGUCACCAAAAGAGUUUAUGACUGAGUCUUUGGUACCAUUAAUUUCUACCCACAAACAUUCUUUUCUACUUACAAAUUGGGCAAAAUCAUGUAUUAUGUCAUGCAUCUUGCAGCUCAUAAUAUCAUCAUCAUCAUCUUUUUUAAACUCUUGAAAGAAAGAGCGUGCUGCUAAAAUGUUGAAAUACUCUUCCCCAAUCAUCUCCAUCUCUUCGUCUUCUUCUGUAUUAAGAUAACCUUGAGCCAUCCAUAGUGAAAUUAGUUCCUCUUUAUUCAUAUUGUAGUUUUUUGGAAAGACAGCACAAUAUGAGAAACAUUGUUUUACCAUAGAAUUGGAGGGCAAAUCGUUAUAACUCAACAACAAAGGAGCUAAAAGACCUUGCCCAAUUGCUUCUACUUUCCACAUUUCACUCUCUAAAAUUCUUUGCCACUCUUUUACUGUACUUUUAGAGCGCAAGAGAUUCCCUAUUACCUUUGCAGCAAGAGGCAGGCCUUUGCACUUAUGUGCAAUUUUGCGCCCGAUUGGUUCUAAUUUUUCACGAUCCUCAAAGGACCUACGUAGAAAUGCCAUCUGCUUAAACAGUAACCAACAUUCCCCUUCUCCCAACUCCUUGACAGGGAUAAUAUCUAUUGAUCCCAACUGUAGUGCAACUGACCUAUCACGUGUGGUAAUUAGAAUUUUACUUUCAUGGUGGCCAUUCUUUAGACAAGAAAAGAAUGGGUCCCAUUUUUUGUAAUCUACAUCCCACACAUCAUCUAAAACAAGAAAAAACUUUUUUCCUUCAAUUGAUGUAUGGAUAUGGCUCAUAAGAGAUUGGAAUUCGCUUAAAUCAUAAGCUUCUUUUGACUUGCCUAGACCUUCAAUGAUUGCUUUGGCAACCCUAAUCCUCUCAAAAGUGUCUGAUACACACACCCAUAUAACUUUUUCAAAAUUUCUUUUCACCUCAUCAUUAUUAUAGGCCAGUUGUGCAAGAGUGGUUUUACCUAUACCCCCUAACCCAACUAGUGAGAUGAUAUGAAGGCCUUCUUGUUGUUCACUACUUUGACACAACAACUUGCUUAAGAGCUCAUCUUUCUCAUUAACUCUACCGCAAACCUCUCCCUCAUCAAUCAAGGAGGUGGUUCGCACUCGCUCUGGUUUCUUGACAUUGUUACUCACAUUCUCAACAAAUUUAAACAUAUCUUUUCGAGUGGCAAUACCAUCUAGCUUUUCAUUGAUUUCCCUAAUCUUGACAGCAAUGUCAUGACGAAGACUGAGUUGUUUGAAACUGCCACAGCAGUUUGAUACAGCACAAAAGAAGGAACGUACCUUCUUCUUAUGAACGCCCUCAAUCUGCAAUUUGAGCCUUGCAGUGGUCCACUCCUCCAACACAUCUUCCAUGUCGUAAGAUGCGUCUUUGAGCUGAUCCAGCCAAAAAGUAACAUCUUUCUCGUGCUGCAUUUGCCUUUUCUCUGCAUCUUCCAGCACAAGUUGAAUGGCUUGUAGAUUGCUGGUGAGCUUUUUCACUUCUUCGUCGACACCAGUAACAAGCCUCACCUGUUGUUUCAGUUCAUCAGUUGCAACUGAGCUCAGCUGCUCCAGGAGAGAGGAAACGAUCGCAUCAACCAUUCUGACAAAGAAGAUGAGAAUUCUGAAGAGUUAUUAGAUGUGCUUUUGUUGCGAAGAUAUGAAAGAAAGGAGUUAUUGCAUUCUUUUAUACUGCAUAGAAAAGGUUUAUGCUUAUCCCCACCCCACACGUCAAUGAUUGUAGAAUGUUUAAUUUCCCUGAUUCUACUCCACUAGUUGUGAUGCGUAAUUAUAAAUAUUCUCAAGUUAUGUAUGAAAAUCCCACAAAUUUGGAUCUAGUAAUGAUUUUUAUGUAUUUUUUCAUAAUCUUCUAAAAUACUAUAUCUGCAUGUUAUUUCGUGCAGAAAUAUGGCAUUGGGUGAAAAAAGUUAUGCUUAUCCCCACCCACACGUUAGUAAUUGUAGUAGCAUCUGUAAUUUCCAUGAUUCUACUCCACGGACGAACACAUUUUUUGUACUAACAUCUUUAAAUUCCCACACGUUAGGAAUUUGGCACAUAAUCUCAAACUCGUCGCAUCUUUAACGUAUGAGGUUGAUGAAUAAAUUCUUUUCUCAUAUCAAUUUAAAACUCCGAGAUUAUGUGCCAAAUUCCUAACGUGUGGGAAUUUUACCUCCUAAGUAAUCCGGCCCACUGCCAAGUGCCAACUUUUUCUCUGUCGAGUUAAUGAUGUUGUUUUGUUUUCCUUGUUUUAAUUAAUGUUGCGGAGAGAAACAGAUCGAUGCAAAUGGCUAGCCAGGUUUUGCAGAAACCGUGAAUGGUCUUGCAUGCAUGUGACAUAAAGCUUUAUAUAUAGCUUAUUCCUCCAUCAACAUUUCAAUGGUUCCAUCUCACGUGCACUUGGCUAUGAAUAAGGUCCAUGCAUGGAUCGAUCGAUUUAGGAGUUUGGACCAUCUCAUGCUGCAGAGUUAUGUGUCAUGUAUGUGUGUUGACACUUGCCAGUUCAUUUUUGUUAUAAAGAUUAUUGAUACUCGUAAAUGUACUACUUACAAAUCAUAAAUUUUGAGUUUGACACUUUAGUUUCAUUUUGUAAUCCCUACGCUCUUUAAAUAUUUGUAAUAAUAUAUUUCAAACUUUAACUCAGACGUAAUGAAUGAAGGGGGAUCCUCUUCUUAUAUAAAUUUUUAUUUUUUAACGUUCAAGUUACAUUUGAUUACGUGUACUUAUUAUCUAGUUUUGACUAUCUAAUGACAUUUGAUUACGUGUACUUAUUAUAUGAUUUUUUUUUAAAUGAUGGGUCUGGUGAGAUUUUUUACAUCUUGGAUUAGUAGGUCAAGAACGGGCAGGGCAGGGCCUUCUCUGAAGUCAAUCUUGUGAGCAACACCAGCUUUUUGGAUAAUUGGCAGCCCCAAUUCAUAAUUUUCUCAGUUGAUGUCCAUGGCCAAAAUCUGCAACCGAAGCUUAUUCUACUCUUAUUAAUCGAGAGAUAAUUUUAUCUCUAACUAAUUUAAUUGGGAGGAAAAUUGAGAGAGAUAUCCACUCUGUCCUUAUUAAUUGAGAGAUAAUUUUACCCUUACCCAAUUUAAUUGGAAAGGAAAUCGAAUUCCAACAAUAACUAGGACUUGAAUCCAUGCACUUAAGCUAACUUUAAGUUUUAGGAUGCAUGGUUAUAAUGUUCUUUAUUUAAAUCCUAACAAAUGGUGGGACUUGAACUUGUGCCUACAAACAUUGAGUGCUUAGGGGCUGCAAAAUUUCAUAACUUAAUUUUAGUUGAUGUGGUAUGUGCCCUAUCACAUAAAUAUGUAGAUAAUAAUAAUUAAUACAUUAACAAAAUGAAAAAUAUUAGUUUACAAAAUACAAAUCCAAAUUUUUUGUGUGACAAGGGACUUAAAAGGGAGAGACUAAACAAAUGUGGUGAAAACGACAUGUAUUACUAAAACUAAAAAUACGAAGUCUAGGCAAUUGAAAACAUCGGGUUUUUUAUUUAAAUAUCCCCAAUUUGUCCUUAAAUACCAAAUUUAUACCCUAUUAUAUACAUAUACCUCACGAAGAUAGGGAAAAUAAAAAAUAACCUUAAAAAAAUCAAGAAUCCACACAUUUCUUCCUCUCAGUGCAGGAAGAUGUCGAGUACGAAGUCGGGUAAGUCGAGAAUUUAGUCGAGCAAGAAUUGGAGAUAAGUAAGUUGAGUAUAUGGUCCAGUAGGAAGUUGAGUAAGCAUAUUAAAUGAGUCCAGUAUUAAGUGGUAGAGUAUUAAGUAAAAGUCAAGUAAAUUUUUUAAACAAGUCAAAUAAAAUUUAUGUAAUUUUUAAAGAGGUUGAGUAUUAAGUCGGGUUAGUACAUUGGGUCGAGUGUUAAUAUUUUUAAAGAAGUGAAGUCUGGUAAGUUGAGCAUUCAGUCGAGUAAGAAGUUAAGGCAAUUGAAUAAGUCGAGUCUCUAGUCGAGUACGAAGUCGGGUAUAAAGUCUGGUAAGUUGAGCAUUCAGUCGAGUAAGAAGUGAAGGCAAUUGAAUAAGUCGAGUGUCUAGUCGAGUACGAAGUUGGGUAUGAAAUCUGGUAAGUUGAGCAUUCAGUCGAGUGAGAAGUGAAGGCAAUUGAAUAAGUCAAGUAUCUAGUCGAGUACGAAGUCGGGUAUGAAGUAUGGUAAGUUGAGCAUUCAGUUGAGUAAGAAGUGAAGGCAAUUGAAUAAGUCGAGUACGAAGUCGGGUAUGAAAUAUGGUAAGUUGAGCAUUCAGUCGAGUGAGAAGUUAAGGCAAUUGAAUAAGUCGAGUAUCUAGUUGAGUACGAAGUCGGGUAUGAAGUUUGGUAAGUUAAGCAUUUAAUCGAGUAAGAAGUGAAGGUAAUUGAAUAAGUCGAGUAUCUAGUUGAUUACGAAGUCGGAUCUGAAGUCUAGUAAGUUGAACAUUCAGUUGAGUAAGAAGUGAAAACAAUUGAAUAAGUCGAAUAUCUAGUCGAGUAAAAAGUCGAGUAAGUAGAUUGAAUGAGUAGGGUAUUAAUUUUUUGUUGGCAUUUUAUUGAGGCUAUUUUUGUACUUUCUUUGGUUUUUUAAGUAUGUAUAUGCAAAGUACAGAUUUUAAUAGAUGGAUGUAUAUUUUGGGUAUUACGAGAGAAACGGGGUAUAUCCCACGCAAUUCCUUCGAAAACAUCUCUGUCAAUUGCAAUGAACAGAUCACAACCCUUCAUAAUUAAACAAAAUCAAACUUGAAAAAAAAAAUCACACACACACACACAAAACAAUCACAAAAACUAUUUGUUCUGAUCAUCCCUGCUUUUUUUUAGCGUAGCUCUUGGAAUGAAAAUUAACAAAAAGUGUCAAAAGAGAAGCAUUAAACACAGCAUUGAAGCACCAGCCCAAAAUCCCAGAGCAACCAAAUCCCGUAAAAUGAUAAUACAGCAUCAAAACCGAAACAACAAAACUAAACACAAACUGAACAAUCUAACAAUCAGUGACCAAUCUCUUCCACUUUGGCCGCAACCCCAUCACACACAAUAGAUAGUACCCGUACAUGAUCACAUGCACACUUGCAUUAGUCACAAGUGCAAUAGGAAACAAAGACUGCUUCGUCUGUAACCAAAGGUAGCACAUUACGACGACGGUUGCAUGGUGGUAGACGUGGAGGAACGUGAGCCAUUGGAUGGAUUUUGACAAAAUGAUCAAAAGGGUGUCUAAGAAUUCGAGUAUUUUGGAGAGGUAGAAGAGGUAAGCGUAGAAGAAGAGGGGGCCAGACGGAGAAAUGGUGGGGGGGAAACAGAGGGUGUAAUGGAGGUGGGGCAAAUGGACGAUGAUGGAGAGAGUGCAGCCAACGGCCAUGAUGAGGGAGAGGAGGAGGAGGGUGAGGUUAUGGACGGCUGUGAUGGGCUUGAGGAUGUGGGGUCCAAUGAGAGGUGAUGAUGAUGGUGAUGUUGAUGUUGAUAUGUGGUAGAGGAUGAAUGUGAGGGAGAGGUAAGUGAGGAUGGAGAGAAUGAGGAAGUGUGGGGAAGAAGCUAGUGUUUGGUUCUGAGUCCAUGUGAAGCUGAGGAUUUGGGGGUGGUUUACAAGACAAUAUUGGAGUGUUGAGGUGAUUGAAUUUGAAGCCAUGGCUAGUUUUUGGGGGAAGAAAGAUUUUGGAAGAGAUGAUGUUGAGAUGAACGGGGGAGUUUAUAAAGUUUUGGGAUAAUGUGGAGGGUAUUUUGGACAUAUUGUUGUCUCAGCUUAAAUUUUGGGAAAAAGAUGAUCAAUAAGAAGCUCUUUUUUUCAUAUCAAUUUAAAACUCCGACGGUGUUUCCAAAAAUUGUUUUUCUUUUUCCGUUUUUUAAUUUUAAAUCAUAAAUUUAGUAAAAGAAGUUGAAUCAAGUGAUCACUUUUUUUUUAAUGUAAAACAAUUAAUUUCUUUUGUGAUUUAAGCAAAUAUUGAGUUGCAUACUUUAAAUAUAUUAAUAUUUGAUUCGAAAUUUCAUCUACCGAAACUACAAAAAUUAAUAUUUUCUAUUAAAUCAAAACCAAAAUUAAAGAUGACUCCUUGUCUGCCAACUGUCAUUAAACAAAGCCAUCACUCACGUGAAAAAAAAAAGUGAUAUAUUCAUUUUAACGUAAUUUCAUACCAACAUAUCAUUCUUUUUUUUCCAAUAAUGACCUCUUUAAUUAUAAAAUAUGGUAAAAGGGGAUGGGUUCGAGGUAUGGCGUCCGGGCCUUUGUGACAACGGUAUCUUUGGACGUGGGUGUCGUUAGAUUUUUGGCUAUUUUCUGGUCAAUCAAACUGGUGGAUCACAUGCAUUUUAAUGACCUCUUUAAUUAUAAAAUAUGGUAAAAGGGGAUGGGUUUAAGGAAUGGCGUCCAGGCCUUUGUGACAAAGUUGGAUGUGGGUGUCAUUAGACUUUUGGCUAUUCUGCUCAAUCAAACUCGUGGAUUACAUGCACUCAACGCGGACAUUAUGGAAAUGGGAGAAAAUUAUGUUAGUAAUAGCAUCUUCAAAAGUUUCUAUACAUUUUACUCUUUAAAUAUUUAUUUACUUAUUUAUAUGAUAAAUAGAAAGGUAAAAAAAUAUAUUAUUCUCCAAAAAACUCUUCAAAUAAAAAUAAGUUAAUAUUAUUUUAAUCAAAUAAUUAUUUUUUAAAGGAAAAGUUAACAGCAAUUAAAGCACUUCUCUUUCUCUCUCUAAUAAAAAGUAAUAAAAUAUUAAUUGAAGUGUUUUUUAGAACCUUAAAUGUUGAUGUGACUCUUCAAAUAAGUAAUAAAAUCUUAAUUGAAGAGCCUUUUGGUGAUGGUUUAAAACCCACUGUUUCGUUCUAAACUAAGUGAAUUUAUCUCGUGAGCUAAGUAGUUUAGGAGAUAACUCAAAUAAUUAACUUUUUAUUAGUUUAAUAAUAAGAAUUUUCGAUUAUAUUUUAAAAGUAUAAUUCAUUACAAAAAAUUACUUAAUAAAAAUAACUGUUAUUUAACAUAUUACAUUUUUUCAAUAAUAAAAUAAUUCAAAUUUUUAAUUAUUAUAACAAAAAAAUUUGUAAUAUAAUCCAUUCAUAUACCACAUCACGUAAAAUGUAACCUAGUACUACAUGUAAUCUUGUUACUACUAUUCCUAUAAUAUUCUACCACAUCAUAUACUAUCAAAUUCCAUCCGGCAUGCCAAAUGUGCAAAGUUUGAGUAAGACUUGUUAAAGUUGAGUAACAUCUUAUAUGGCCAAGCGCAUUGAGUAUGGAUUUGCAUGAUCGAGUGAGUACAACUAAAGUCGGGUAGAGUCUGGAAAAUCCCUAUAAUGUUGAGGUUGGAGAACUAUACUUUUUAAGGUACAUAAUUAAACAAUUUUGGUAAAUAUUUACUAUUAUAACUUAAAAAUUAAUUUGAUUUGAUCUCAUAUAUUAUUAUAAUAAAAAAACUUAUAAUAUCUUUAUUAAUUUUAUUAAAAAUUAUUAUUUAGAAGUCAUAUAUUUAUUACACAUUGUCAAAUUUCAGCUUUUUGUUUUUAACAACAGCUAGUAAUAUCAAACAAGACCUAAGUUGAGUAUGAUCAAUUAAUUAAAAUUAUGAUUUUUUUUUGUAUAAAAUAAUCAUUAGAUAAUUAGUCUGUAAAGAAUAUCGGCUACUUCAAAUGGAAACUUGCGAUAAAAAAUGCAUCACAAAAGUAACAAUGACACACUAUAUAAGAAAUCUGAAAUAGAAUUUGCAAAAUUGAACUGAGUUACGGAGAGUAAAUAAGACUCCAAAGGAACAUGGCAAUUAUUAUUAUCUAGGAAACAAUUCAUAGCUAAAACAAAAUUAACUAUACUUGCCAGGAAAUAUGGCGAAUUCCACCACCUCCUACAAGUUCUUAGGUGUCUUAGAGUUUGAUGACGACUUCCAUGCUGUGUCUCUUCGACAGGCAGCAAAAUUGGGCAAUUGACUACAUUAACUCCAAGAAAUUUAUGCAGUCACCUUCCUCCGGACUAUCCUCUUUCUUUGAGCUUUGGUUGCCCCUAUUUCCCCUUCAAUAGAGUCAUCACUGUUUUGUUUGAAGCCAAGGAGCCCAAGAUCAGAAAAAUGGCAUUCUUUGGUAUCAAUCCCUCGAUCCCCAAGUCACGUCACUAACUUUCUGUUGAUCGCGUAGCUAGUUCAUGUAUGCCACAGCAGCGGAAGGUAGCCUGAAGAAGAAAAAACCUCUCUCUCUUUCUUGCUCAGUAACCACCUGGGCACUUUUGUGCUGAGCCAUGACAUCCUGAGAUGGCCUGUUGUGUAAGCCUUCUUCAAAAGGUCAUCUGUCGAUCUUUCUCCUAAUUAGACAUCCAAAACCCAGCAUGGAAUCCAUUUGAGAAGGUGGACAAUAGACAAACUCCAACGCAUACAGACAGUAAAGAAGAAUUUAGACCGCAAUCACUGUGGCUGAAUAAAUGGGCCUAUUAAGCCUAUUAAAAGUUGGAACCAUAUUCACCACUCGCAGUUCCUUAGAGAACUUUAUCAGAAUUCUGAAAAUUUAAAACUAUUCUUACAUAUUUAACUGUAAAACAAGAGAAAUUGUACUUCCGUAGCAAAGUCUCACUAUUGGUAAGUAUCUGGACUUGGAAAGGAUGCUAGUUGAUUAAGUAAAGGAAAAUUGAAAUCAGACUUUGAGGUGAUAGAUCUAUAUACACUUUAAUCGGAACCACAUUAACAUCAUAUGAGCCAAACAAACAAAUUCCCCAGUCAAAGUUCAACAAACAAAACAUUAAAACAAGAGUAAUUUGGUGUAUCAAUGUAUAUAUAGAGAUGUCGAUCAUUGACAAAUACGUAAAAGAGGGAGGGAGAGACCUCAAAGCCGUGCUUAACAACAUUGCUACUCCAAUAACUUCAAAAUGGUUGGCGACGUCUCUAUCAAAGCCACACAAUAGCUGAUAUCUCAUGUUUGCAUGUAGUCCAAUGAAAGCACCAUAACCAAGAACAUUAGUACUCACAGAUGGGUUUGUCACAGAUAACCUGUCAGGCAAUAAAAAUUGCCCAAAUUAAACAAAUGUUAGACCGGCUUAGACAGUAAACGGAACAAUAUUCUAAUUUUACUUUAUUUAUAACGAAUAAGUGAACAAAGGAAUGAAAAGGAAGUUUGGCAACAGUCUUUUUACCAGCCAGAUAGUUUGACAAAGAAUCUUGCACUGCUCCUGCAGCUAAUCCCACCAUACACAACUCUGCAGUCUUGUUUGGGAGUCAAAAUUCUCAAAAUGGGUAACUCUGUUCAAAUAUACUGUUUGGGAACUUUUGUAAUGUAUUUUGCAAGUCAAACAGGAAGGUAUUUCCAUAAGAAGGUUCACUUCACAUGCUCAACAAUUCAAAUUUGCGGAUGAUAUUUCUCAAAAUGGAGGGCUCUAUUUGGCUUGCCAACAAUCUUCCUCACCAUUAUCAUCCUUGCUAUACCGGUUAAACUGAACAGUCUUCAUUCUGACAUUUGCCCUAUUAACCUGAGUACACAAGAAUCCGAAACAACUGUUAGAAAUUAUAAUCUUUAUAUAUAGCCAAAAUGUUGAAUAAGAUGAUGUACUUGAUAAUAAAUACCUGAGUUAAUAAAUAAUUAAGGGGCCGGUAACAAUGUCAGCAUCUUAUCAAGUGGGGAAAGCCUACGCAACGAAGAUGCUGCCUGCUUUCAAGAAAUAAUAACUUUCCAAUUCCAUAAGGUAGGUUAAUGCCCUUUUAAAAAUAUCUCCACCAGCCUAACAAUUAUUCAUUGAAAUGUGUGAGUGUGAAUUCGAACGAAUUAAUCAAAUAUGAUGACACGAGAAAGAAAAUUAAAAUAACCACAAGAAGUAGAAAUAUACUUUUGUUAUAUUUAGUGCAUCUUCUGUGUGUGCUCAAACGCAAUGCCUCAAGGCGCAAGAUAAUUUUAUGACCAUCAAUCUUUUGCAGCCAUAUGCAGACUUGAAACAUUGGCGGUGGUUCUAAGGAACUUGAAAAUUAGAAAAGUUUCAAAAUGAGUGACUAAAUAUGAUAAUCGAAAUUAAUUAAAUAUACACGCCUUGUAAAUAUGAAACUAAAUUACUCAAAUGUAUGUGCCUCUUCGCAGCAAUUGCUCGUGGUGGAAACUUUACUGCAAAGACUUCCUCAAACCCUUGAAGAUCACACUCUUCCUGGCAACAAAGAAACAGAGUCGAUAUACGAAGAUGAUUUUACUAACAAGUGAGAGCUUGCAAAUAUUGGAAGGAUAACGAUUGCUCAUAACCCAAAUCCCCAAUACCCUCUAAUAUCUCACUCGAGUGAGUUCAAGCCCCCAAAAUUCACUACAGUGAAACUCUCGAAACAAAAUUCUCUUCAAAUAUUCUCAACUCAAAUUUGAUAAUGAUAUCUCUUGAAGGAAGGCAAAAAAUCUAACACUGAUCAAAUUGGCUUGUGAACAAUUAAUGUUCCUGGCCAUCAUUCAUACUAGGUGUGGCGAACAAUUAAGCUGCUUAGUAUCCUGAACCUGAUAACUUACACAAACAAAAACAACUUGCCUAAAGUUUAAUAUUUAGAGGCAGAACGGUAAAGAAGAAGAUAUAUAUUGAUACUAAAAUUUGACUUGCGUUACCCUGAUGUCAAGAAUAGCGGGAUCUCAUGUGGGCAAAAUCUUCGCAAUACGAGAUGCUUGCAAAAUUGAAGCAGCAUCUUAUCACCUGUAAUUUAAUUAAGAUAAUAACUUUCCCCGACUAUUUCAAUGCAUUAUUGGCAACUAAAUUCAGAGGGCGCUAAUUAAAUACCCUUUUAACAAUAUCUUCUUAUUCUUCUCUAAUCUAGCAGUUAUUUGGAAAAUCUAAAUGACAGUCAUGCAUCAAUGGCGUCAAAAUUUGGCUACAAAGCAGCCUACAAAAGGCUUCACCCUCUGAAUGAGAGCAUGAAUUCGAAUAAUAUGAUGAAUGAAGAAACAAAGGCAUAAUACCACAAGAAGUCAAACUUUUCCCCAGAGCUCUGUUUCUGUUUGUGCUAAAGCAAAUGGAAACCAGUGGAAAUGAAUUUCUAUGAACUAGACAUAUCAGCCAAAACAGGUACUCUGUGCAAGCAAAGUAAAAAAGAGUUACAAACAAAUUUAAGAUUGAUAUGAUAAUUAAAAUUUCAGUCACCAUAUAAUUAAUAGAAAACUUUGUACACAAUGAUUUAUUGCAUAUUAAGAUUGUAUACCUAAAUUUUAAUUGCUAUGCAAAAUAUGAUAUUAGCAUUAGGAGACCGCACCAAAACGUACCGUAUUGAAUGUGCCUUUUCACAACCAUUGUACAAGCUUUGAAGCUUUGGCACAAAUGCUUUUUCAAACCCAUGAACAUGAUGCACCCGAGAGAUGCAAGAUAUGAAAUUGUUACAACAGCAGGCAUUGAAACAUUUGUUAAGAAAGGAAGUUUAUGAAAAUACGCCUUAACAUUCAUUAGAUACAUGUCUUCAGGAAUCAAUUCAUCUGUAAUAACAAUUUUCAAAGAGCAUUAACUGCUUUAAGCCCCUCAACAUCACAGAGAUCUUCAAUUAAAAUAGCGCAGAUCCGGCCAUCACUAUUACUUCUACUGCUCUUUCGCUUUAGAGAACGCUUGAAUUACAGAAUGCAUGUAAGGCUUUCUUGUUUAAGGUCCAGCAAACCUUGCACAAUAACAACAGAGGCAGUGGUUCCAUUGCCAGCCUAAUCCUUGGUCUCACCAAUGUUCUGCACGAGUAGGAAAUCAACCUUAAAAUUAAGAAUGAGUUGCAAAAACUGUUUAUGGCCCUAAAGAACUUGAAAAUCGGAAAUGAUUAAGAAUGAGUGAGUAAACAUUUUAAUCGAAUAAACAUACAAAACUUGAAAACCUAACAUUGAAGUACUCUGAAUGAAUGUGCAAUUGCACGAGCUGGUGACAACUGACUUUACUGCAAAGGCUCUUUCAAACCCUUGGAGAUGAUAAAAAUAAAAAUGCAAUGCUUGAGCUUGAGCUUGAGCUUGUUUUAACAUCAUCAUAGUAGGGAAUUUUGAUAUAUCUUUACUUCUCUGUGGUUCAAUCAUUUACUUCUCUGUUCUUGUUUAUUCACAACAAGAUAUCAAUAGAAGAAGAUGGAAAUGAAAUUCUAUAAAAUAAAGCAAGUGAAUUACCAGCAGAACAUUUUAGCAAUCCUUUGGCUAAACUUUUCAUUUUCUUAGCAUACUCUCCUGCCUGCAUCAUUAAAACCAAAUUAGAUUGGACCUGUGAAUUGCUAGUGUGGUUCUGACAUUUCCUCGAAUCCCUGGUGAACAUAAUUAAACGCGUAUGAAAUAAAACAAAGUGGGCUAAUGUACUACUAAAAACAAUUACACAAUUACUUUAAAGAAUUAAUGUCACAUAAAUUAUAUAUAAAAAAAUAAGAUUAUCAUUAUACAAGAUAAAAUUGAUAAUUUAUUUUUCAACAUUACUGCAAAUGUAUUACAGAGAUUUUGUCUCUCAGGAAGUUACACAUAACAAAUUUUCGUACAUUAAAAAAUAAAUUACAUUGGGAUUUUCUAUGAUGUUGUAUGCAAUUUUACAAAAGAGCACAUAUUUUUUAAAAGUAAAUAAAUAUAGAAAUUUAAACAGACUACACUUGUAUUUUUUUAUUAUUUAAUCUUUAGAAAACAAGUUUAACAGAAUUGAUAACUAGGAAGUUUUACAUAUUAUUUCAUUGCAAGCAACAACGAAGUAAAUCAGAGGAGGAGGAGAAAUUACCGGCGAGUGAUAUCUUACGGCUACCACGUGAUGUGGGGAAUGUGAGAUAUCUUCUCCUUUCCCCUCUCUAUGACGGUUUUCCAAAAGGGGACAUCCCCAAAUUGUCAAUUUCUGCAGCGUCGUCGUUCGAAGGAGGUAAUCCGGCAGCACCUUUAAUUUGGGGCAAUCCCCAAUUAGCAGGGAAGAAAGACGUGGUAUGUCUGUUGUCCUGCGAUCUUCUAGAAUGGGCAGUUCUUCCAAAUUUUUACAAGAAUAAAUACUCAGUUCCUGCAGCGUCGUCGUCCGAAGAAGGUAAUCCGGCAGCACCUUUAAUUUGGGGCAAUGCUCAAUUUCCAAGGAAGAAAGACGUGGCAUGAUGGAGAUGUUUUCCUUCCUCGUAAUCCUGUAAUUCCACUCUUCCAAUUCAUCCAAGAACCAAAUUUUGAGAGAUUUCAAUUUGGGGAAGGCAAUAACUGAUGAUGACGAUGAAGAUGAAGAUGAGUCGUCCUCACCGCUUUCUUUUAUUCCCAAAAACUCAUUACCCACUCUUUUUACACUUUUCAAAUUGCAUAGGAUGAGUUUUUCCGGAGGCAAUUUUCCCAAAGGAGGCAAAUGCUCACAGUUAAAACACAAGGAAAGAUAUAAAUUCCUUAGAUUGGUUAGUAAAGUCAACCAUUUGGGAAAAAUGACGCCUCCAUAGGAUUCAAUCCCUAAUUCCUCUACAUUCAAAGGCGGUUGUAAGGCUUCAAGAAGUUGUUUAUCUUUCUCGUUCUUCCUCCUCCCUUCUUCGCCUUCCCCAUCUACGACUCCACCAAACACAAGACGCAAACGAAGGAGGUUUUUCUUAUUGUAAAGUUGUAACCUCUCAACCUCAUCUACAUGCGAUACAUUACUCAGCCCUUCUAUACUACAUUUACCACGGAGUUGAAGAUUUUUCAGAGAUUCAAGCCUACAUGUGCUGCCGCCAUCAACACCUCCACCCACAACAAACUUUUCUAAUGUUCGAAGGCUGGUCAAUCUGGAAAUCCCUAUUGGAAACUCCUCAUGUUCUUUAACUUCCCAAUCCCGGCUGGCAAUUCUCUAAGAUAUUUGCACCGCCUAAUAUCUAGCUUUUGUAAAUUAUAUAAUUCACACAAAGUCUCAGGUAGUCUCGCUAUAUAUAAUUUAGACAACUUAAGAUAUUAAGAUAUUUUAAAUGUAUCAAUUUUCCAACAUUAUUUGGAAUUUCUGUAAUCCAAUUUGUGCCUUCAUACAAAAGCUUGAUCGAUUGCCUUAUAACUAAUGCCCUUAAACAUGCCAAUUUAUUAAAUAACUCCCGAAGGAUGCUAUUAUUAAGAGACGGAUUGAAAAAACCUUCAUCAUAAAUUAAUAGGGUACGCAAUCUAUUAAGUCCAUAAAUGGUCAUAGGAAAUGAAGCUCCUCCUCCAAAAUUUAACCGUAAGUGACGGACUUUGUCACCAAAAAAUUUUAUGACUGAUUCCUUGGUACCAUUAAUUUCUAGCCACAAACAUUCUUUGCUACUUACAAAUUGGGCAAAAUCAUGUACUAUGUCAUGCAUCUUACAACUCGUGAAAUCAUCAUCGUCCUCAUAUAUUUUAAACUCUUGAAAGAAAGAGUGUGUUGCUAAGAUGUUGAAAUACUCUUCUCCAAUCAUCUCCAUUUCUUCGUCUUCUUCUGCAUUAAGGUAACCUUGAGCCAUCCACAGAUCAAUCAACUCCUCUUUAUCCAUCACGUAGUCUUUUGGAAAGACAGCACAAUAUGAGAAACACCGUUUUACCAUAGAAUUGGAGGGCAAAUCGUUAUAACUCAACAACAAAGGAGCCAAAAGACCUUGCCCAAUCUCUUCUACUUUCCACAUUUCACUCUCUAAAAUUCUUUGCCACUCUUUUACUGUACUUUUAGAGCGCAAGAGAUUCCCUAUUACCUUUGCAGCAAGAGGCAGGCCUUUGCACUUACAUGCAAUUUUUCGCCCGAUUGGUUCUAAUUUUUCACAAUCCUCAAAAGAACGACCGAAAAAUGCUAACUGCUUGAACAAUGACCAGCAUUCCUCUUCAACCAAUUGCUUGAUGGAGAUAAUAUUUGUUGAUCCCAUCAUACGUGCAACUAACUCAUUACGUGUGGUAACCAAAAUUUUACUUCCGUGGAGACCAUUUUUUAGACAACGGAAGAAUGGUUGCCAUUUAUUGUAAUCCCCAUCCCAUACAUCAUCUAAGACAAGAAAAUUUUUUUUUCCUUUAAUUGAACUCUGGAUACGGCUCAUAAGAGAUUGGAAUUCGUUUAAACCAGAAGCUGACUUCCCUAGACCUUCAAUGAUUGCUUUGGCAAUCCUAAUCUGAUCAAAAGUGUCCGAUACACACACCCAUAUAACUUUUUCAAAAUUUCUUUUCACCUCAUCAUUAUUAUAGGCUAGUUGUGCAAGAGUGGUUUUACCUAUACCCCCUAACCCAACCAGUGAAAUGACCUGAAGGCCAUUUUGUUGUUCACUACUUUCACACAACAACUUGCUUAAGAGCUCACUUUUCUCAUCAACCCUACCGCAAACCUCUCCCUCAUCAAUCAAGGACGUGGUUCGCACUCUCUCUGGUUUCUUAACAUUGUUACUCACAUUCUCAACUAAUUUGAAACUAUCUUUUUGUCUGGCAAUAUCAUCUAGCUUUUCACUGAUUUCUCUAAUCUUGACAGCAAUAUCAUGACGAAGACUGAGUUGUUUGAAACCACCAAAGCAGUUUGAGGCAGCAGGAAAGAAGAAACAUACCUUCGUCAAAAAAGUAACAAAAGCACCGUCGUUAUCAUCAUAAUCAUCAUCGCCUCCCUCAUCAAGCUGCAAUUUCCGUGUUUCAGUGAUCCACUCUUCCAACACAUCUUCCAUGUCGUAGGAUGCGUCUCUGAGCUGAUCCAGCCAAAAAGUAACAGCUUUGUCCUGCUUCAUUUGCCUCUGCUCUGCAUCUUCCAGCACAGCUUGAAUGGCUUGAAGAUUGGUGGUAAGCUUUCCCACUUCUUGUUCGACACCCGUCACAAGCCUCCACUUUUCUUUCACCUGAUCUUGAGCAAUGGAUUUCAGCUGGUCCAGGAGAGGGGAAACGAUCGCAUGAGCCAUUCUGAUAUUAGAUCAAAUGGUAAAUGCUGCAAUUGCUUUUCUUUCUAAACUGCUCAGAGGAAAGUAGCUUUUAUGUAUUCUGUGAGAAUGCUCAUUCAACCAUGUUUGCAUUCUUCUUAUACUAAUAGGAGAUUUAAUUUUUACCCUCAAGUCAAUGUCAAUGUGAACGUUCUUUUGUGCUGCAAAUUGAAGGAGUCCCCACAGGAGUCACCGUCGUGGUUACUUGCUGCUCUUAAGAUAAUUAGUAACAAAAUAUUUGUAAACUGCAACAAAAAGCUCAGUGCAAUCUAUCUAUGAAUCUUGUGAGUUCACAUAUAAUACAGUCGAUUUAGAAUAGUCAUAAAUUUUUUUUAUUAUAAAUAUUAGUAUAUUUUUAAUGGUAUAAUAUAUAUCGAUGAAACUAUAUAGAGUAAUUUCGCCUAAUUGUAUAAAUUCAUUACGAAUAUCAUCACAAAUUUGUAUUUGGUCGGGACCGUGCGAGUGAAAUUUUUGAUAAAAUCGUCUCCUGACAAUUUAUUUAUUAUAUUCCAUUCCUUUUAUUAUCAGGUAGGCCAAAGCCAUUUGGACAUUUGAAAAAGUAUGUGAUUCUGUUUUAGUCUAUUAUGUCACGACAAAAAGAGAAUUGGAAAAUGUAACAUUCUCAAAUUAAUUUGUAGUGGAAAAGAGAAAAAUAAGACAAAAGUUGGAAAAAUCAUGCAGCCGACCCUUUUUUUUAUCUGAUUGCGCAAUAUUAGGUAGGCGAAUGCGACUUCAUCGAUAUCACACAGCAGUGGUUCUGUCAUUAAUUUUUUUCUUUUAUUUAAUUAAGAAAAGGAAGAAAAGAUAGCACAUGUUAUGAUUAUUGUGAAUUUUCCAUCCCUUAUAUAAAUUCUCAAAUUUAUUUAAAUUGUGAGUCAUAGAAGUAUAUUACCUAAACUAUUUUAUCAGGCCAUGUUCGGAUACUAGGAUUAAGUAUGGAAUUGGACUAAUUUUGUGAUUAUAUUUUAUAUCAAAUUUGGUAAGCUUAAUUGAAUUGGACUAAGGGACUAAAUUUAAGUUUAAUCCUAAAAUUAUGGGAUUAAUAAUCCUAAUUUACACAUUCCUUUAGUUGGGACUUGGGAUAAGAUUAAAGAAAAAAAGUUAUCCAUUUAUGAGACUUUAAUUUAUGUCAUUAUUUUUUAUUUAUACUUAAUAUUAAUUAAUUUAUUAAUUUAUUUUUAAUUUAUGAUUUACUUAAAAUUUAUUUUUAUUUAUUAUCUAUUAUCUGGUUAAAUUAGAACUUUACUUCUACUAACUCUUGCGAUUAAUUUUUCAUUACUUGCGUAUUUGAUAAUUUGCCAAUAAAAUUAACCAUUUAAUAAUUUCUUGCAUUAUUGAUUGUAUUAAAUUUAAUAAUCACUAAUAUAAUAUUAAAAAUAAUCAUGAAAAUUAAUAAUACCUUCAAUUAAUUGAUUUUAUAUACUUUUUUUAAAUAUUUGAUAAGAAGUUGAUAAAAAUUAAUUAAGGAUUUAAAAUUUUAUUCAUUUUUUAUUUAUUUAUUUUAUCAUGAAUACCCAGUAUCUUACAAUAUAAUUAAUUUUCUUAUUCAGACUACUCAGCAUCAGCUCCUGUAAAAUUUCUUACAUUAUAAGCAACAAAAUAUUUAUAAACUACAACAAAAGGCUUAGAUCAAUCCACCGAUGAACCUUUUGAAGUUAUAUAUAAUAUAUUAAUUGUUGAUCUAGAAUAGUCUUAGUGGAUAGAUUUUUUUAAUUAUAAAUAUUAAUAAAUUUUUUAUCGUUUAAUAGAUAUUGAUGAAAUUAUAUGGAGUAAUUUCGCCUAAUCAUAUUAAUUCAUUAUGAAUUUCAGCACAAAUUUGUAUGUGAUCGAUCUGGACCGUGUAAGUGAAAUUUAUUUACUAUAUUUUUCAACUUGGCCGACAACAUCUUUUUGUCAGGUAGGCAAAAGCAAAAGCCAUUAUCUCAUUAAUUGAUUUGGUCAUUUGAGAAUGUAACUCUAUUAUGCCGUGACAAACUCCAAGAUCUAAUUUAGAGAGCGACCCAAAUAAUGGUAAUUAGUAAUUUAUUACAUCUGCAGUUAGAUAGAUACUUUGUCUGGGAAAAAAAUAAAAUCAGUUUUAUAAUGAUUUUAAUUAAUUCAUUUGGUCAUUUGAAAAAGUUGUGGCUCUGUUUUAGUCCAGUGUCAAUAUAUAACUUUAUUAUGUCAUGACAAACUUUAAAAUUUAAUUUAGAGUGUGACUCGAAUAAUUUUAAUUAGUAAUUUAUUAUAUCUACAGUCGGAUACUUUGUUGAGAAAAAAAAAAAUAAAAUCUGUCCCAUAAUGAUUUUAAUAAAUAUCAUACUAUUGUCUACGGACUUACCUCAUAUUACAAAGAAUUAAAAUAUGCGAAAGAUAACUAAGGAAUAAAAUUUUUCCACAAUGAUUUAUAAAAUUGCUUUUGAAGAACGGUUAUGAUAUUAUAUUAAAUUACUAAGAAUUUAGUUAACCUCUCAAGAAGUCUAUUUGGUUGACUUCUCGAGUUUAAAAUUCGAAUGUCAAAAAAGAUAAAAGGUUAAAAAAAUAUUUUAAAUAUUAUCCACCCUUUUACUAUUUUAAUAUACAAAAAGAAGAAUUACUUGUUUUUAACAAUAGCAACCGGGGGCAUAAUAUAUCUGAUGGAUUUUUUUAAGGAACAAAACUUAUUAUAUCUCCUAUCAAAAAUGUCAUUUUUGUUAGUAAAAGGAUAUCUAUAUCUCCAAAUUUUGGAAAAAUGGUUACCAGCGCUUCCAAGUCCUAAAUUUUCAAAAAGAGACACUAAAACUCAUUUUUUACUACAAUACCCUUUACUUUUAUUAUCCCAAAAGUUAACUUUAAUUUUUUUUAUAAUAAAUAGAAAUAUAAUAUUAAAAUAAAUGUAUUAAAAUUUAAAUUAUUAUGAAAAAUAAUAAUUUUAAUAUUAUUAGUAUAUGAGACUUUUUUAAUUGUAAAAUGUAUUUAAUGCAAAUAUUUAUUUAAAAUCUCUAGAAUAAAUACAAAUAUAUUAUUAAAAUAAAUAUAAUAAUUUACAUAUUUAAAUUUAUUUUAAUAUUAUUAAUCUACUACAUAGAUUACAUUAUUUAUAUAAUAUUUGUGUUUACUAAAAAUUUGCAAGUUAAAUUUUUCGGGAUACUAAAGGUAAAGAGUAUUAUGGUCAAAAGAGAGUCUUGAUGUCAUUUUUAGAAAACUUGGGGUGUUGGUGACUAUUUCUCCAAACCAUGGGGAUAUAGAUAUCCUUUUCUCUUUUUUAUUUUAAACAAGUGGUGACUAAAGAUUAAACUGUCAUAUAUUCACAAGAUAUUCACCACAAAAUUUGUAGGAAAUUUCUUCUUCCCUAAGCGGAAAAUACAAAACAAAAACAUAAUUGGCAAUUUCACUAGCAAAACUAAUAAUACUUUUGUUCCAUAUCCAGGGGUAGAGCUCGGGGUAAAUCUUCAUGACGCCCAAAUUCAAAUUUCAAGUGUUAGCUGGGAAUUAAUUUUAGACAAUUUUAUUUAUUUAUUUAUAGCUAGUAUGUAAUUGUUAGGUAUUUCAAAAUUUGAGAAUUUUGUGAUUCUGUGAGAAUGUUGAUUCAAGCAUGUUUGCAUUCUUCUUAUAAGUACCAUAGGAGAUAUUUAGUUUUUACCCUCAAGUCAAUGUCAAUGUGAACGUUGUUUUGUGCUGCAAAUUAAAGGAGUCCCCACAGGAGUCACCGAUUUGCUUUGAGAAUUUUGAGAAUUAUGUUUUGCGAGUGAAAUUGCCAUUUUGUCAUAAUGGAAUUUUGCUUUCUGAUCAAUAAUUGAGAAUUUUGCUUGUAGCUACAGGCUGCAGCGAUUUUGAUUUGACGGCUUUGAUUCAUAAUUGAAGUUACUGUUGCAAGUAAAAACUAAAAAAAUUAACAAAAUAAAAAUCAAAGACUUAGGUCCAUGUUGCAAGUAAAAACUAAAAAAAUUAACAAAAUAAAAAUCAAAGACUUAGGUCCAUGUUUUAUCAAAAUUUUAAUAAAAGGCUAUUUGUCAUUUUGUCAUAAUGGAAAAAUGAUUAACAAAAUAAAAAAAUCGAAUUUACUUGAUUUUAUUUUACAAAAUAUAAAUUAAAUUUCUAUUAUAUGUAUAAAGUUUAUACAUCAAGUGCUUAGGGGUCAAAUCAAUCUUUUUAUACCUAAUUUUUAAUAUUUUACUUCGAAACCUCAAAAAUUUUUAAAGUUUGUUGGGUCACAAUCCCCGCUAGGAGUGGGCAAAUUUGUGUUCAUAUCAACUUGAAUAGGUUUUGGGUUGAUUAGGCUAGAACUGGAUCAGAUCAAAAAGUAUGAGAGAAAUUAAUUGAGCUUCUCCCAAGAAAAAUACAUACAGAUGAUUGAUAUAUAACCAUUAAAUAAUAAAUAUGUUAGACUUACAUUUAUUUUUUAGCCCUAAAAGUAUGAAAAAAUUAAUACUUUCCGAAUUUAUUUUUUGUACCGUAAAGAAUCAAAUUACUCACAAAAUUAUUUUUAACUUUCAUCAUGCAAACAAACAAAUCAUCAUCAAUUUCAAUAGAAAGAAGUAGAAUAUGAUGUAUUUAGGACUUCCUACUCUAUUAGCUAGGUUAAUAACAUGUUAAUUGUCACAUCAUUAAUUUUAGAUUAUAAAUUUUAUAUUCAAACUUUGUAUGACUGCUCCUUUUUCAAUGAUCUAAUGUUAGAGUGCAAUUUAUGCACUAGUUUUGCAUUGUUUACUUCCUUUAAUAUUGAUAUUUUACACUUAAUAAUAGUGAUUUACUUGUAUUUUAUUUUUGUAGGUGCAAUUCUAUUGAUUGGUGCUAAAAUUGAGAUACAAGAUGAUGUUUAAGGAUGGUUGUUCUCUUGGAUAAAUUAUGAGUGUCAGAAGAACUUUGUUGAUAAGGCGUGGGCGCGUGCUGUCAACUACGGACCUGCAGUUUUUAGUUUAAUGUGUUUUGUAUUUUUGGUUAUUUUUGUAAUUAUGAAUUUAAUGUUUCAGAUAUUAGUAUUUUAUUUUAAAUAGAACUCUAGAGGAGAAGAGAGGGAGAGUAUUUAAGGGAGGAAUCUAUUGUGAAAAAUGUGAGAGAUUGGAGAAAAAGAAAGAAACCCUAGAUCUAAACUUUUCUCUUCUCUCUAUGAAGAACUAAACCUAUUUUUCUAGUUGAAGGUUAAUGAAGCUUUGAUUCAUCACUACUGUGAGAUCUUUCUUAUGCUUUAAUUGUUUUAUUGCUUUUUGGGUAUUUGUUUAUUUUUUGAAUUAUUUUCAUGAUUAUGUUUGUUAAUUAGGUAAUUGGACACUAUUUAAUUAUCAACUUAAUCUAUUGUCAAUUCAAUGAUUCAUCGUAUGAAGAUUUUAAUGUUUGUGACAAAUAACAUAGCAGUGAGUUGUAUUAUGAGAAUAAACAAUCUAAUUUAAAUGAACCAUCGUAUGUGUUUGUUGAUUAGGAUUUGGGUCUCUCUGGUUUUUCAGGCUGUCAAUUGAUAUAAUCUUAUGAUUGUAUUUAGGGUUGUCUAUUGAUUAGGGAAAUAACCAACGGUCGUACCUUGGUUAUCGACUAGUUAAGGAGAGAUUGGCUAUUAGAGGGUCUCAGUAGCUAUAACCGGUGUAUUCAUAAGUAGUAAUAAUUUAUAUUUGAAUCAAUGAUUAGUAGUCGAAUCAAGCUCAGUUAAUUCCUUCAACCAAAGCUUUCUCCAAUUUGAAUUACAACUUUAAUUUGCAUUCUAGUUAUUUUAAUUUGAUUUCUAUUAUUGUCAACAACUCCCCCAUUUUACGUUUUACAUUUUAAAAGGAUUUAAAUAAUUACCGAUCUCUGUGAACACGACCCUGCUCAAUCAUUAUACAUAAUUUAUUUAGAGUAUGUAUUUAUUUUUGCUGUCUUCGACAAUCAUCAAAUUUUGGCGCCGUUGCCGGGGAUUGGUGUCGUUUAUUUAAUCCUUUUUACAUUUUACUUGGUGUAUGGUUCAUUCUUCUCGUACAGGUACACUUUCGUUUGAUCCUGAAAUUGAGAAGACAGCUCGCCAGCUGAGACAGCAGACGAAGCAAGCUAAGCAACGAUUCUCGUCGCCUUUGCUUUUUGAAACAGAUACAGUGUCUGAUUUGAUUGAAUCAUCUAGCGAUUCAGAAGAACAAGUGAUGGAUAGAGCUGCACCUGUAGAAAGAACUCUUAAAGAGUUAGCUGAACCAGACUUGAAUCAGCAACCACUCUGCAUUCAAUAUGUAGACUUGGAGGUAAAUUUUGAAUUAAAGUCUGGUCUUAUUAAUUUAUUACUCAAGUUUCAUGGUUUUGCAGGUGAAGAUCAUCAUAAACAUCUCAAGGAGUUUCAUGUUGUGUGCUCAAGUAUGAGGCCACAAGGCGUGACUGAAGAGCAGAUUAAGCUGUGUGCUUUUCCGUUCUCUGCAGAUGGGCUAGCUAAAGACUCGUUGUACUACUUGCCUCCUGGAUUGAGUACAACGUGGAAUGGUUUGAAGAAGCAGUUCCUUGAGAAGUACUUUCCUGCUUCAAGAGCUGCCAACAUCAGAAAAGAUAUUUGUGGGAUCAGACAACUUCCUGGGGAGAUUUUGUAUGAGUAUUGGGAGUGAUUCAAACAAUUGUGUGCCAGCUGUCCUCAGCAUCAGAUUUCUGAUCAACUUCUUAUUCAAUAUUUUUACGAAGGACUGUCAUUGAUGGAUAGGAGUAUGAUAGAUGCUGCUAGUGGAGGCGUGUUGGUGAACAAGACCCCUACUCAAGUAAGGGAGUUGAUCUCAAAUAUGGCUGCCAAUGCACAACAAUUUAGCAGCAGGCAAGAUCCCACUUCAAAGAAGGUGAAUGAGGUAAAUAUUUCUUCUGUUGAACAACGUUCAGAUAAACUUACUUCUCUUGUGGAAAAGUUUGUUUUAGGUAAUGUACAAUAGGUGAAGACUUGUGGCAUCUGUUACAAUAUGGGUCAUUCAACUGAUAUAUGUCCUACGCUUCAAGAAGAACCCGUUGAACAAGCCAAUGUAGUUGGAGGAUUUCCAGGCAAGCCUCAGAAGAGGUAUGAUCCUUAUGCACAAACAUACAAUUCAGGGUGGAAGGAUCAUCCCAACUUCAACUAUGGAGUUAGGCCGUCAGGAUUCCCACAACAGUAUCCACCAAGACAACCAGCACCUCCACAGUCAAACUCCAAGUCAGGUAUAUCUCUUGAAGAAAUUGUUAAAUCACUUGCAACUAACACUCAACAAUUUCAGCAGGCAACUACAGCAAGCAUUCAGAAUUUGGAGAACCAAAUGAGUCAAUUGGCCACUACAAUGAGCCGUCUGGAGUUUCAAGUAUUAGGGAGAUUGCCUUCACAAUCUGAGGUAAAUUUAAAGCAAAACGUUAGUACUGUCAUCCUUAGAAGUGGGAAGGAGUUACAAGAGCCUAGUAAGAAAGUGACAAAGCAUGUAGAAGAUGAGCUUGAGAAGAAUGAAUUGAUGCCUAAAUCUCAAGAUGCGCAACCCACCAAAGCGAAACCCCUACCUAUUGUGAUACCUCCUCAUUUUCUAAGCCGGUUUGUAAAAUCCAAGAAGGAGGAACAAGAGAAAGACAUCCUUGAGACAUUUCGCAAGGUUGAGGUAAAUAUUCCUUUAUUAGAUGCUAUAAAACAAAUACCUCGAUAUGCUAAAGUUCUUAAGGAACUGUGCACCUCCAAGAGAAAAUUAAGAGGAGAUGAAAAAGUUCACAUGGGGGAGAAUGUUUCAGCAGUUCUCCAAAAGAAAGUACCUCCUAAGUGCAUGGAUCCAGGUAUGUUUACUAUCCCUUGUAAAAUUGGUAGUGUUAGAGUUGAAAAUGCUAUGUUAGAUCUAGGAGCUUCUAUUAAUGUCAUGCCUCGUUCCAUUUAUUCAUCUUUGAAUGUUGGUCCAUUGAAAAAAACUGGCAUGAUAAUUCAACUAGCUGAUAGGUCUAAUGCAUAUCCUGAUGGGGUAUUAGAAGAUGUCUUAGUACAAGUUCAUGAGUUGGUUUUUCCUGUUGAUUUUUAUGUACUUGAUAUGGAAGAGGAUAACUCCUCUAAUUCUUUCCCAAUUUUGCUAGGAAGACCUUUUCUUAACACUACUAGGACUAAAAUGGAUGUACAUAAAGAGACUCUCACUAUGGAGUUUGAUGGAGAGGUUAUAGAAUUCAAUAUGAAUGAUGCCAUGAAAUAUCCUAAUGAGAAACAUUCGGCAUUUUUUGUGGAUGUUAUUAACCCUAUAAUGCAGGAAGUUUUUUACAAGGAAAAGACGAAGAAAUUUCAUGAUAGAAUGAUUUUGAGAAAGGAGCUCUCUGUUGGUCAAAAAGUUCUUUUUUAUUCUAAGCUUAAACUUUUUCCGGGUAAAUUACGUUCUUGCUGGGUUGGACCUUUUAUUAUUACUAAUGUUUUUCUUCAUAGUGCAGUUGAGAUUCGGAGUCCGACCUCUGACAAAGUUUUUAAGGUUAAUGGUCAUUGGUUAAAACCUUUUUAUAAAGGUUUUUCGGUGAAUAUUGUGGAGGAUAUGGCUCUCAAGAGUCCCAAUUAUGGAGAUUGAUGCAUAAAUGUGUCUAACCAAAGACAUAAAACAAAGGCGCUUUUUGGGAGGCAACCCAAAUGAUUUAUUUAUUUUGGUUUUUGUUAUAUCUUCUUUUCAUUUUGAUUCAGAUUUUUUAAAAAAAAUAAUGUGUUUGCUUAUUUUGGCCAGAAGAAAAUGUUUGAUAAGGCGUGCCCACGUCUUAACUAAUAAGUACUUCUGUGAUUUUUAACGUAAAAUGGUUUUAAGGCGUGCGCACGUGCUUAUUAAAAAAGUACUUCUGAAAUUUUUAGUGUCUCAAGUGAUACAUCACUAAAAAAAAAAUUAUUUUAUUUAUUUAUUUAUUUGAAAAUUAAAAAAAUAAAAAAAGUUUUUUUUCUUUUCUUUCUUUUAUAUUUUUAUUUAUUUGAAAAAAAUUUAAAAAAUGAAAAAAUAAAAAAAAAGUUUUUUCUUUUUUUCUUUUAUAUAUUUUAUUUAUUUAUUUAUUUGAAAAAAAAUUUAAAAAAUAAAAAAAUUUUACUGUUCACAAAAUCCCUAAUUCACAGAAUUAGUGUUCUUCUCCAGCCGCUCCAGCCUUCACCGAGCAGCCACGCAGCACCAGCUCCAUCCCCAGCGCGCAGCAUCAUCCCCAGCCCGCGCGCAAGCAACCAGCCCCAACCCGCGCAGCACAACCAUCUGCGAAUAACCUGAACCAACAGCCGUGUACCUGCAAGCUCCAGCCGAGCAGCAACCAUCCGCAGCCGGCCUACGCCCUGCAUUCUAGCCGCGUGAAUCAAAAUCCGUGAGUUCAAUUAUUGUAACAAUGCCGAAGAGGAAAGCAUCAACUUCCAAGUCAUCUAAAAAGACACUCGUCGCAAAGAAAUCCAAGAUUUCCGCUCCCACUACGGUUCCAUGGAACACAGUUUUAGAUUCACGCCAAGCCGUGAGAUAAAGAUCGAAACAUGGAAAAGGCAUGAGUGUUUUGCCACUUGCGGAAUCCAAUCUCAGAGGGUGCCUCACAUUCACGACUCAACAAGAGAAAGAAAUGUACAAAGAUAUUUCCAAGCGAAAAAUACUUCCAGCUAAGUAUAUUCAUUACCCGACUCUUGAAAAAUUGAAUGUCAAGAAUAGUUUUGAUUCUUUGAUAGAUAAGAUUGGUUUGCGUAAGUUUGUUGAUGUUGAUUGUUUGGGUUAUGUUGAGUUGAUUAGGGAGUUCUAUGCUACUUUUCAAUUUAAUAUACUGAAUGAUUUUACUUUGCAUACCUCAGAUGUUAUAAAGUUUAGGUUAAUGGGACGAAAUUUUUCACACUCUAUCACGGAUUUUAACCUAGUUUUAGGAUUCAUUGAUGAUGAUUAUUCUUCUAGUGAUGUAUAUUUAGGGACAACUUGUGACUUUAGCGAAAAUUUUGAGCCUUAUGGUCUUUGGCGUAAUUUAUCUGUUGAUCACAAUGCCUAUGACCCAAGUAAAUCAAAGAGUUCUUUCUUACGUGAUCCUGUUUUGAAAUGUAUGCAUCGGUUCUUAGCAUAUAAUUUUUUAGGAAAGAAAGAUCACUCAAGAGUUUUCUCUAAAACUGAGUUUUGUUUUAUCUGGUGCAUAUUAAAUGAUGUGAGGCCUAACUUAGGUUUUUGGUUAGCAGAUCAAUUUCAAAGUGUGCUUAAACGGUAUAGGACUUUAUUUCUUGGUUCAUACAUUACUCUGUUAGUUAUAAACUUAUGUGUGCUUGAUCAUGACAACAAUGAUUUAUAUCCUGCUUGCAAAAAGAAAUUUUUGGAUAUGUCUGUGUUUGAAAGAACAGGUGUGGUCGAAUUCAAGGAGGGGAAAUUUCAGUUUACUGAACCAGGACCCACCCAACUUCCAAAGAAGUUUUAUACUAGGAGUGGUGCUACCUCUGAUGACGAGUUUGACGACGAAACUGCGGCCCCACCAACUAUUCCUUUUACAUCCGCACAACCUUUGAGCAUUCAGUUAGAGAAAAUGGAGCACAAGCUGAACAAGAUGGAGCAGAAUUUGGCCUCAUACUUCGAGAGUGUGGGAUUUAUCCCACCAUUUCCACUAAGCCCAUAGACGUUAUGAGGAUCAAAGCUCACAAUUCAGGAAAGUUUUCGCCUUUAAUCUUUUAUCCUUACGCUUUAAUUUUUAUGUGAGCUUUGAUUAUCUUACAUUGGGGACAAUGUAAGUGUCUGUCAAUGACAAAUUUAACCCACUACCACCAUUCAUAAUUAACCAAAAUCAAAUAAAUUAAAAAAGAAAACACAAAACAAGGAUAACUACUAGUUGUUUUGAUCAUCCUUGCUUCUUUUUCUUAGCAUAGCUCUUGUAAUGAAAAUUAACAAAAAGGGCCAAAAGGGAAGCAUUAAACACAGUAUUGAAGCACCAACCCCAAAACCCAGGGAAACCAAAUCCCGUGAAAUGAUAAUUCAGCAUCAAAAUGAAAAAUGUUAUGGAUGGCUGUGAUGGGUCUGAGGAUGUGGGGUCCAAUGAGAGGUGAUGAUGAUGGUGAUGUUGAUGUUGAUGUGUGGUAGAGGAUGGAUGUGAGGGAGAGGUAAGUAAUGAUGGAGUGAAUGAGGAUGUGUGGGAAGAAAGCUAGGGUUUGGUCUUGAGUCCACGUGAAGUUGAAGACUUGUGGGUGGCUUACAAGCAAUAAUGGAGUGUUAAGCUGAUUGAAUUUGAAGCCAUGGCUGGUUUUGGGGGAAGAUUGAUUUGGGAGAGAUGAUGGUCAGAGGAAUGGGGGAGUUUAGAAAGUUUGGGAUAUUGUGACGGGUGUUUUAGGCAUAUUUUUUCGUCUUAGCUUAAAUUUUUGUUAAAAAAAUGAUAAAUUCUUUUCUCAUAUCAAUUUAAAACUCCGAGUAUGUUUCCAAUUCUUCUUCUAUAGUGUCUAGACCUUUGUUUCAACGGCAUCUUUGGACGCGGGUUUCUUCUUUUUUGGUUAUUUCUUCUCAAACUUGUGCAGAUUACAUGCACUCAACGUGGAACCCUUUUGAAUGGAAGUUACUGUUUUGCUGGAAUCGGGACCAAUUUUUUGACAAAAAUUUCGCUAUAAAAUAUACAAUUAAAGUCGAGUAAGAUUAAGUAAAGUAACAUCUUGUAUGGUAAAGUACAUCGAGUAAGGAUUUCUAUAAUCGAGCUAGAAAGUAUAAUUAAAAUUAGAUAAGAGUGCCGCGGAGCAUUGUUUUAAAGUUACAGUAUCAAAGUAUUUAAUAAAUAUUUAUUAUUGUGACUUAAAAAUUAAGUUGGGAGUACAAAAAAAUCAAUAAUACAUUUAUUAAUUUUGUCAAAAUUAUUAUUUAAAAAUCAUAUAUACAAUACAAGAUCAACAAUUAUAUUAUAGCUUCAGUUCCUUUUUCACAAUAACUAUAACUACAACACGGUAGUACUAAAUAGGAAGUCGAGUAUGAUCAAGUAAUUACAUGUUAUGGUUUUUUGGUAUUACAUGAUUCUUCAAACUGAAAUUUGCGAUCAAAAUUGUAUCAAAGAAAUCACAGAGACACUCUGUUUGACAAAUCUGCAGUAGAAUUUGCACAAUUUAACUGGAUUGCAGAGAGUGAAUAAGAUUCCAAAGCAACAGGCAAUUAUUGUUAUUAAGAAAACAAUUCAUCGCUAGAACAAAAUUAACUUUUCUAACAUACUAGAAUUUAACUGGAGAAAAAUUGGAAUAUACGACGUUGUAUCACAUAUAGUAUUUAGACAUCAAGAAAAGAAUCCCUCUAUUAGUGAACUAUACUUGCCAGGAAACACGGUGAAAUACCACUACCUCCCUACUAGAUUAAUGCAGCAAAAUUGGGCAAUUGACUUGAUUAACUCCAAGAAAUUUACGCAGUCACAUUCUUCCGGACUAUCCUCUUUCUUCGCACUUUAGGAGCUGUUGUUUCCCCUUACAGAGUCGACAUUCCCUUGUUUGAUGCCAAGGAGCCCAAGCCCAGAGCCAAUGGCAUUCUUUGGUAUCAACCACUUUGGGAACUUUUGAGUUGAGCCAUUGACAUCCUGAGACGGCCUGUUGUGAGCCUUCUUCAAAAGGUCAUCUGACUGAAGUAGCGGAUCCGCUUCCACUCCUAGCCAAGCAAGCCUUGAUCUUUCUCCUAAUUGGACAUUAAGAACCCUGCAUGGAAUCCAUUUGAGAAGUUGAACAAUAGACAAAGUCCAACACAUAUAGGCAGUAAAGAAGAAUUUGGACAGCAAUUACUGACUGUUUAUGCACAGGGCUGAACAAAUGGGAAUAUUAAGGCACUUAAAAGUUGGAACCAUAUUCACCACUUGUAUUUCCUCAGAGAACUAUCUCAGAGUUCUGUUAAUUUAAAACCAUUCUAACGUAUUUAACUACAAAACUAGAGAAAUCGUACUUCUGUAGCGGAGUCUCACUAUUGUUAAGGAUCUAGACUUGGAAAGUAUGCAAGUUGAUUAGGUAAAGAAAAAUUGAAAUAAUACUUGGUGAUAGAUCAACACACUUCAAUAGAAACCACACUAACAUCAUAUCAGACAAAUAAACAGAUUCCCCGAGUCAAAGUUUAACAAACAAAACAUUAAAACAAGGAUAAUUUGGUACGACCAGAAUAGUCUAUCAAUGUAUAUAGAGAGGGAGAGACCUCAAAGCAGCGCUUAAGAACAGUGCUACUCCAAUAACAUCAAUAUGGUUGAUGACCGCUCUAUCAAAUCCAUUGGAAAUCGUAUACUUAUAAUUUUUUUUUUCAAACUUUGUCUAAAAUAAAUGAAUGAGAUAAGAUAAAUUCGAAUAAAUUAAUCUGCAUAAUGACACAAGAAACAAAUGUAAAUUGACCACAAGUAGAAAUAUACUUUUGUUAUCUUCCAAUUUCUUUCCCUUGAGCUCUGUUUCUGCGAGUGCUCAAAAGCAAGACACGGGCCUUGUUAAGAGUAUAGCUGAAGCUGGUGACGUGUAUAAGCUGCUGAUGAAGCUGCUGAGCUGGCUGGCUAGUGAUGUGUAUAAAUUGAAGGUGCUGAGCUGGAUUGGGUUGUUGUUUACACCAACUAAAGCUGUAACAGAUUAUCCAGCUGGCUUGUUAUGAUUGGAAAUUAGAUUAGUUUGUUAAUACAGCAAACGAUUAGCUCUGUUUUAGUAGUUAGCCUUGAAUGUAACUAUAAAUACUGGCUAACACGUUUUCAGUGUUAAGCUUGAGUUUUAAUCAAUAAAAAUCAAUUCAGUUAAAGUUUCUUUGUUAAUUUUCUUUCACUUUCUCACUUGCCAAACAACCUAUUAAUUCUAAAAGGCCUCAAGAUAUAAUUAUCAUCAUCAAUCUUUUGCAGCCACAUGCAGUACUUGGAAAAUGUUUAUGGCCCUAAAUAACUGGAAAAUCAGAAAACAUUAAGAACAAGAGACUAAUCAUUUUAAUCGCAACAAAACAUGCACACUAUGAAAAUAUAAAAUUGAAUUACUUCGAAUGGAUGUGCCUCUUAACAGGAAUUGCACAAGCUAAUGAGCAAGUGAGCCUUGAACAGUUAUCACUCAACUCAAACUAAAAUGAAAUUACUGUGGACAUGUGAAUUAAAAAUAGAUGUAAAAGUAGUUUUCUCAAAGCAAAGUCAAGAUAAGAGAUUAACUCUGCUCCGUAAUUACAUUAAAAAUAACAAACAAUGAAAAACAGAGCUAGAGAAGAACUUACCUGUGCGUUGAGACCAUGUGGGGAAUGUGAGAUAUCUUCUUAGAUUUGGUUUGAGAAACCCUGCCAAUUAAAAUUUCGGUCCCCAUGUAGCAGAAUUUCUUAUUUUUCCUUUGUACACAAAUGCAGACACUUAAGCAAAUUAAGAUUUCUUAUCUAAAGCAAAUUAGGAUUUCUUUUGACCCUGCAAAUUACAAUUUCAGUCCCCAUGUAAUAGGAAAAUUUUGUACACAUAUUUAUAGCAAAUUAAUAUUUCAUACCUCACAAUAUUUAUCAGAACCAUCAAUCUUUAGAAACCACAUGCAGACUUGGUAAACUGUUUAUGGCCCAAAAUAACAGGAAAAUUAGAACAGAUUUUUAAGAAUGAGCGACUAAAUAUUUCAAUGGCAACUAAAAUUACACAUCUUGGAAAUCUGAAACUCAAGUACUCAGAACACUGUUAGUGCAUUGCAUAAGUCAAUUGCAUAAUCUUGGGUAAAAAUUACGCAGCAAUUAAACAAGCUGGGAACUUUAGUGCAAAUGCUUUUUCAUAAUCUUCAAUUGCAUAAGUCAGUUAGAAUCAAUCUUUCUUAAUCUUUCAAUUCACAUAUGAGAGCCUGAUAACACAAGGAAACACUGUAAGUGAAUUGUCAACUGUGACAAAUUUUGGGUAAAAAUUAUCAACUGUAGUUAUCUGCAUAACAUUUAGUGUCAACCCCAAAUUCCUUACUGAUCCGUGGAAGCAUUUCAGCCCACAGACGGUUAGCUUUGUCAAUAUACGGCAACUCAGGAUUCUAUAUUUAAACUAUGAUGUUUGAUGACUUGCUGAUACAAAAGACAUUGCCCCAAGCACUUUUUUACAUUAGCUAAAAUCAAGCCAAUCACUUCCAUUUGUUGCAGUUUUAAUGCAGAAAGAAAAAGGUGGGGAAAAAAUCUGCAAGAUGCCACUUGUAAUACCGCAUGUUCGCAGAAGCAGAGUUAAAUAAUUACAAAAUUACAUUCUUUAUGAAAGCUUGCGAUUAUUGGGAGAGCUCUACUCAAAUUUAAUGAGAUAUCUCUCAGAAGGGAGAGCUCUAAUAAUAUAUAAAGCCAAAAAUCUGACACUCAUCAAAUUGGCUUGUGAACAAUUAAUCUUCCUUGCCAUCAUAAAUGCCAGGUGUGGUGAACAAUCUUCAUUCUGACAUUUGCCUUAAUAAGCUGCUUAGUAUCCUUAACCUGAUAACUUACACAAACAAAAACAACUUCACUAAAGUUUAUUCUUUAAAGGCAAAACAGUAAACCAGAUGAUGUAUGCUGAUACAAAAAAUUGACCUGAGUUAUCCUGAUGUCAAGAAUCACAGAACCUCACGUGGGCAAAAUCAUCGCAAUACAAGAUGCUGAAUUCAAGCAACAUCUUAUCACCUGUAAUUUAAUUAAGACAAUAACUUUCCUCAACUAUUAGCCUUCUCAAUUUCAAUGUAUUAUUGGCAACUAAAUUCAUAGGGGACGCAGCUAAUUAAAUGCCCUUUUAACAAUAUCUUCCCCACCUAACAAUUAUUUGGAAAAUCUAAAUGACAAUCAUGCAUUGAUGGCAUAAAAUAUUGGCCACAAAGCUGCCUACAAAAAGGCUUUAAAUUCUUAAUGAGACAACGUAUUCGAACAAAUAUGGUGAAUGAAGAGACAAAGCAUAACACCUCAAGAAGUAAAGCUCUGUUUCUGUAUAUGCUCAAACCAAUGGAAACCCAUGGAAAUGGAUUUCUACGAAUUAGACAUGUCAGCCAAAACAGGUACUCUGUACAGGCAAAGUAAAAGAGAGUUACAAAAAAUUUUAAGAUAAUUAAACUUUUAAUAACCAUAUAAUUAAUAGAAAACUUUGUACACAAUGAUUUAUAUGAGAUUAAGAUUGUAUACCUAAGUUUUAAUUGCAAACUAAAUAUACACAACAUGAUAUUAGCAUUAGAAGACUGCACCAAAACGCACCGAAUUGAAUGUACCUCUUAACGGCCAUUGUACAUGCAUUGAAAGUUUACCGCAAAAGCUGUUUCAAACGUGAUGCAUCUUAGAGAUGCAAGAUGAGAAAUUGUUAUUACAACUAGCAUUGAAACAUGUGUGAAAACUGUUAAUGGACCUAAAUAACUUGAAAAUCAGAAAAGAUUAGGAAUGAGUGACUAAGCCUGCUAAUCGCAACUAAACGUGCAAACCUUGAAAAUCCAAAAUUGUACUCGAUGAAUGUGCAAUUGCUCAAGCAGGUAAAUUUCCUGCAAAGGCUCUUACAAACCCUCAAAGAUGAUACUCUACAUACCAUGGUAACCUGAGUAACAAAAAGAAACACAGUGAAUAUUAAAGGGCAUUCUGACAAUGCAAAUUUGUGUAAAUUAACAACUGCGGUUACCUGCAUAAUAGUGUCAAUACCGAAUUCCUUCCUCCAUGGAAGCAUGUGAUCAGCCCACAUGUGCUUUGCUCUGUAGCUUUUGAAUACCUGAAAUUGUUAUCACAACCAACGGUGAAAAAUGGGUGAAAAAAGGGUAAUAGUAGCAUAAUUGAAUUUGCUUAUAGAGGAUAAACCGAUCAAAGAAAAAAACAAGACAGAAAUGAUGAUCUUAGUACCUUAAUAUCAUGCAAUAAUAAUCAUCAUGCCUUCUAGGCAGCUAUCCAUCCUCAAUUGAAACAGAGCAGACCUGGCCAUCACUUUCUUCUUCAAAGUCCAGCAACUGAACGUUGCACACAACACCACAGUGGAAGUUCCAUCACCAGCCUAAUCCUUGAUUACCCCAAUGUUCUCCAUAGGGUCUUCAAAGUCAACCUAAAAAUAAAAUGAAAAUGCAAUGCAUUAUUAUUAGGGAUCUAGUGCUUGAGCUUGCUUUGACAUCAUGGUAUUAGCAAAUUCUGAUAUAGCCAAAAUGGUGAAUAAGAUGACGUACUUGAUAAGAAAAACCUGAUUUAACAAAUAAUUAAGGAGCCGGUAACAAUCACAGAAUCUCAUCAUGUGGGGAACGCCUUGGCAACAGAAGAUGGUGCUUUCAUUCAAGCAAUAGCAACUUUCCAAUUUCAUAAGGUAGUUUAAUGGCCCUUUUAAGAACAUCUGCACCAGCCUAAUAAUUAUUCAUGGAAAUUAAUAAUCAGAAUCAUGUUAGAUUGAGAGAUGAAACAUAAUAAGCGAUUUGGCCACCAUAUAUGCAUUUAUCACCUUCAAUUUGCUCAUCUUUGUCUAGAGUAUUGCUUCUGCAUUAACUUAAUUAGCUUGCAAGCCACCUGAACAUGGUUUUAAAUAAAGUGUAAGAGCUCGAAUUCGAACGAAUUAAUCAAAUAUGCUGACAGGAGAAACAAAAGUAAAUAACCACAAGAAGUAGAAAUAUACUUUUGUUAUAUUCAGAGCAUCUUCUUGCGUCAAGUUCUUUUCCUUUAGCUCUGUUUCUGUUUGUGCUCAAACGCAAUGGCUCAAGGGCCAAGAUAAUUUUAUGACCAUCAAUCUUUUUGCAGCCACAGCAGACUUGAAAAAAUGAUUGUGGCCCUAAGGAACUUGAAAAUUAGAAAAGAUUCAGAAUGAGUGACUAAAUAUUAUAAUUGAAACUAACUAAACAUUAUAAUCGAAACUAAUUAAACGCCUAGAAAAUCUGAAACUGAGCAAUUGCUUCUGGUGGAAACUUUACUGCAAGGACUUUCUCAAACCCUUGAAGAUCACACUCUACCUGAUAACAAAGAAACAGUCAAUAUACGAAGAUGAUUUUACUAACAAGUGAGUGCUUACACAUAUUGGAAGGAUAAUGAUGAUUCAUAACCCAAAUCCCCAAUACUCCCUAUUAUCUCACUCAAGUUCGAGCUCCCAGAAUUCACUACUGUGAAGCUCUCACAACAAAAUUCCCUUCAAAGAUUCUCUACUCAAAUUUGAUGAUGAUGUCCCUCCAAAGGAGGCAAAAAAUCUAACACUGAUCAAAUUGGUUUGUGAACAAUUAAUCUUCCUGGCCAUCAUGCAUACCAGGUGUGGUGAGCAAUCUUCAUUAUGACAUUUGCCUUAAUAAGCAGCUUAGUUUCCUUAACCUGAUAACUUACACAAACAAAAACAACUUGAUUAAAGUUUAAUAUUUAGAGGCAGAACAGUAAAGAAGAUGAUAUAUAUUGAUACUAAAAUUUGACCUGUGUUAUCCUGACGUCAAGAAUCACAGCAUCUCAUGUGGGCAGAAUCUUCGCAGUACAAUAUGCUUGCAAAAUUGAAGCAGCAUCUUAUCACCUGUAAUUUAAUUAAGACAAUAACUUUCCCCAACCAUUUCAAUGCAUUAUUGCCAACUAAAUUCAGAGGGUGCUAAUUAAAUAGCCUUUGAACAAUAUAUUCUUAUUCUUCUCCAAUCUAACAAUUAUUUCGAAAAUCUAAAUGACAAUCACGCAUCGAUGGCAUCAAAAUUUGGCUACAAAGCAGCCUGGAAAAGGCUUUACUCUCUGAAUGAGAGCAUGAAUUCGAAACAAAUAUGAUGAAUGAAGAAAAUAAGGCAUAAUACCACCAAAAGUAAAACUUUCUCCCAGGGCUCUAUGUUUCUGUUUGUGCUAAAACCAAUAGAAACCGAUGGAAAUGAAUUUCUAGGAAUUAGACAUAUCAGCGAAAACAGGUAUUCUGUACAAGCAAAGUAAAAUAGGGUUACCAAAAUUUUUAAGAUUGAUAUGAUACUUGAAAAAUAGGUUUGCACAGAAUUAAUUAUUCUGUCAUUGAGAUUGUUCUUUUAUAGAGAUUUACAGCACACAUAAAACUAUUAAAUCAGUAAACUAAAUCACUGAUUUAAGGAAAGAAUAAUUUCUAGGUAGAUUUUCCUAAAAUACAUAGAUUUGCACCUAAAUAGCUAUGUUACAGCUAAUGACUAAUUUACAGCACAUAUUUUUUCUAAUUUUCUAACACUCCCCCUCGAGCUGGUUUGAAGAUAUCCUCCAUAGCCAGCUUGCCAACUAGAAAAUUGAACUGUUUUGUGUGUAGUCCUUUGGUAAAGACAUCAGCCACUUGUUCUCCAGUAGGAAUGUGCUCCAUAUGAACCAAUCCAUUAUCUAUCUUCUCCUUGAUGAAAUGCUUGUCAAUCUCCACAUGUUUUGUGCGGUCAUGAAGGACUGGAUUGUGUGCUAUUGAGAUUGCUGCCUUGUUGUCACAGUACAACUACAUAGGAGAUGAUUUUGUCGCUUUUAACUCUUCCAACAGCCUCCUAAUCCACAUGAUCUCACAAAUGCCAUGGGUUACAGCUCUAAAUUCAGCCUCAGCACUGCUCCUAGCUACCACAUUCUGUUUCUUGCUUCUCCAAGUAACCAAAUUACCACCUACAAAUGAACAGUAUCCAGAAGUGGAUCUUCGGUCUACUUUGCAGGUAAAUUUACUGCAAAGGCUCUUACAAGCCCUCAAAGAUGAUAUUCUACAUACCAUGGUAACCUGACUAACAAAAAGAAACACAGUGAAUAUUAAAGGGCAUUCUGACAAUGCAAAUUUGUGCAAAUUAACAACUGCGGUUACCUGCAUAAUAGUGUCAAUACCGA
rnacentral:lncRNA from 1 species